rnacentral:rRNA from 1 species
AUGUUGCCUCGGCGGAUCAGCCCGCGCCCCGUAAAACGGGACGGCCCGCCAGAGGACCCAAACUCUAA